GACGAACGCUGGCGGCGUGCUUAACACAUGCAAGUCGAACGCUGAAGCUCAGCUUUUGUUGGGUGGAUGAGUGGCGAACGGGUGAGUAACACGUGAGUAACCUGCCUCCUUCUUUGGGAUAACGCCCGGAAACGGGUGCUAAUACUGGAUAUUCACUGGUCUUCGCAUGGGGGUUGGUGGAAAGGGUUUUUCUGGUGGGGGAUGGGCUCGCGGCCUAUCAGCUUGUUGGUGGGGUGAUGGCCUACCAAGGCUUUGACGGGUAGCCGGCCUGAGAGGGUGACCGGUCACAUUGGGACUGAGAUACGGCCCAGACUACUGCGGGAGGCAGCAGUGGGGAAUAUUGCAGGAUGGGCGCAAGCCUGAUGCAGCGACGCCGCGUGAGGGAUGGAGGCCGUCGGGUUGUGAACCUCUUUCGCUCAUGGUCAAGCCGCGACAAUGGUUGUGGUGAGGGUAGUGGGUAAAGAAGCGCCGGCUAACUACGUG
rnacentral:rRNA from 1 species